rnacentral:rRNA from 1 species
GACGAACGCUGGCGGCGUGCUUAACACAUGCAAGUCGAACGGAAAGGCCCUGCUUUUGCGGGGUGCUCGAGUGGCGAACAGGUGAGUAACACGUGAGUAACCUGCCCUUGACUUUGGGAUAACUUCAGGAAACUGGGGCUAAUACCGGAUAGGAGCUCCUGCUGCAUGGUGGGGGUUGGAAAGUUUCGGCGGUUGGGGAUGGACUCGCGGCUUAUCAGCUUGUUGGUGGGGUAGUGGCUUACCAAGGCUUUGACGGGUAGCCGGCCUGAGAGGGUGACCGGCCACAUUGGGACUGAGAUACGGCCCAGACUCCUACGGGAGGCAGCAGUGGGGAAUAUUGCACAAUGGGCGGAAGCCUGAUGCAGCAACGCCGCGUGCGGGAUGACGGCCUUCGGGUUGUAAACCGCUUUCGCCUGUGACGAAGCGUGAGUGACGGUAAUGGGUAAAGAAGCACCGGCUAACUACGUG